rnacentral:rRNA from 1 species
GAUGAACGCUAGCGGCAGGCCUAACACAUGCAAGUCGAGGGGCAGCACAGAAACAGCAAUGUUUUGGUGGCGACCGGCGGACGGGUGCGUAACGCGUAUGCAACCUACCUUUAACAGGGGGAUAACGGAGAGAAAUUUCCACUAAUACCCCAUAACAUCGAUCAAGGCAUCUUGAUUGGUUGAAAACUCCGGGGGUUAAAGAUGGGCAUGCGUUGUAUUAGGUAGUUGGUGAGGUAAUGGCUCACCAAGCCUACGAUACAUAGGGGACUGAGAGGUUAGCCCCCCACACUGGUACUGAGACACGGACCAGACUCCUACGGGAGGCAGCAGUGAGGAAUAUUGGUCAAUGGGGGCAACCCUGAACCAGCCAUGCCGCGUGCAGGAAGACGGCUCUAUGAGUUGUAAACUGCUUUUAAACAGGGAUAAAGCACAGUAUGUAUACUGUGUUGAAGGUACUGUAAGAAUAAGGAUCGGCUAACUCCGUGCCAGCCGCCGCGGUAA